rnacentral:rRNA from 1 species
GACGUAGGGCGCGAGCGUUGUCCGGAUUUAUUGGGCGUAAAGAGCUCGUAGGCGGCUUGUCGCGUCGUCCGUGAAAACCUGCAGCUCAACUGCAGGCUUGCGGUCGAUACGGGCAGGCUGGAGUUCGGUAGGGGAGACUGGAAUUCCUGGUGUAGCGGUGAGAUGCGCAGAUAUCAGGAGGAACACCAAUGGCGAAAGCAGCUUGCUGGGACGGUACUGACGCUGAGACGCGAAAGCGUGGGGAGCGAACAGG